rnacentral:tRNA from 1 species
CAAAGUGUAGCUUACACUAAAGCAGCUCGCUUACACCGAACUGAUGUCUGCUAAACCAGACCACUUUGAG